rnacentral:rRNA from 1 species
UUGCACGCUGGCGGCAGGCCUAACACAUGCAAGUCGAACGGUAACAGGAAGAAGCUUGCUUCUUUGCUGACGAGUGGCGGACGGGUGAGUAAUGUCUGGGAAACUGCCUGAUGGAGGGGGAUAACUACUGGAAACGGUAGCUAAUACCGCAUAACGUCGCAAGACCAAAGAGGGGGACCUUCGGGCCUCUUGCCAUCGGAUGUGCCCAGAUGGGAUUAGCUAGUAGGUGGGGUAACGGCUCACCUAGGCGACGAUCCCUAGCUGGUCUGAGAGGAUGACCAGCCACACUGGAACUGAGACACGGUCCAGACUCCUACGGGAGGCAGCAGUGGGGAAUAUUGCACAAUGGGCGCAAGCCUGAUGCAGCCAUGCCGCGUGUAUGAAGAAGGCCUUCGGGUUGUAAAGUACUUUCAGCGGGGAGGAAGGGAGUAAAGUUAAUACCUUUGCUCAUUGACGUUACCCGCAGAAGAAGCACCGGCUAACUCCGUG